GCCUAAGUAGCGCAGUAGGUAGCGCGUCAGUCUCAUAAUCCAAAUUGUGUUCGAGUUAUCUGAAGGUCGUGAGUUCGAUCCUCACCUUGGGCA
rnacentral:tRNA from 1 species